CCGACUGCUAUCAGAGUGAGACUAAGCCAUGCGAGUCAACGUAUGAAUAAUACGUGGCAUACGGCUCAGUAACACGUAGUCAACAUGCCCAGAGGACGUGGAUAACCUCGGGAAACUGAGGAUAAACCGCGAUAGGUCAUAUUUACUGGAAUGUUUUAUGGCUCAAAUCUACAUGGCCUCUGGAUUGGACUGCGGCCGAUCAGGCUGUUGGUGAGGUAAUGGCCCACCAAACCUGUUACCGGUACGGGCUCUGAGAGGAGGAGCCCGGAGAUGGGCACUGAGACAAGGGCCCAGGUCCUAUGGGGCGCAGCAGGCGCGAAACCUCUGCAAUGGGCGAAAGCCUGACAGGGUUACUCUGAGUGAUUCCCGUUAAGGGAAUCUUUUGGCAUCUCUAAAAACGAUGCAGAAUAAGGGGUGGGCAAGUCUGGUGUCAGCCGCCGCGGUAAUACCAGCACCCCGAGUGGUCGGGACGAUUAUUGGGCCUAAAGCAUCCGUAGCCGGUCUUGCAAGUCUUCCGUUAAAUCCAGCUGCUUAACGGAUGGGCUGCGGAAGAUACUACAAGACUAGGAGGCGGAAGAGGCAAGCGGUACUCAGUGGGUAGGGGUAAAAUCCUCUGAUCCACUGAAGACCACCAGUGGCGAAGGCGGCUUGCCAGAACGCGCUCGACGGUGAGGGAUGAAAGCUGGGGGAGCAAACCGGAUUAGAUACCCGGGUAGUCCCAGCUGUAAACGAUGCAGACUCGGUGAUGGGCCGGCUUCAUGCCCGGCUCAGUGCCGCAGGGAAGCCGUUAAGUCUGCCGCCUGGGGAGUACGGUCGCAAGACUGAAACUUAAAGGAAUUGGCGGGGGAGCACCACAAGGGGUGAAGCCUGCGGUUCAAUUGGAGUCAACGCCGGAAAUCUUACCGGGGGCGACAGCAGAGUGAAGGUCAAGCUGAAGACUUUACCAGACAAGCUGAGAGGAGGUGCAUGGCCGUCGCCAGCUCGUGCCGUGAGGUGUCCUGUUAAGUCAGGUAACGAGCGAGAUCCCUGCUUUUAGUUGCUACCGCUACUCUCAGGAGGAGUGGGGCUAAUUAAAAGGACUGCCGUCGCUAAGACGGAGGAAGGAGGGGGCUACGGCAGGUCAGUAUGCCCCGAAACCCUCGGGCCACACGCGGGCUGCAAUGGUAAGGACAAUGGGUUCCGAUUCCGAAAGGAGGAGGCAAUCCCUAAACCUUACCUCAGUUAUGAUUGAGGGCUGAAACUCGCCCUCAUGAAUAUGGAAUCCCUAGUAACCGCGUGUCAUUAUCGCGCGGUGAAUACGUCCCUGCUCCUU
rnacentral:rRNA from 1 species